rnacentral:misc_RNA from 1 species
CCGGGUCGGCGACUGCCCGAAACCACACCGUGCACUGCACCUGGUACUUUUGUUCGAGCCGCGCGCGCCGCGGCGGGCUUGCUCGCUGGGGGAGCAGCAGGUCCGGCGGGUUCGCCCCCCGGGCCGGCCCGCUAAGGUGCCGUCCAGAAACACGCUGAGGAACUUUCGGAAGGUGCAACGGCGGCCUCGUGCCCCGAAGAACCUAGUCA